UACGAAGGGGGCUAGCGUUGCUCGGAAUUACUGGGCGUAAAGGGCGCGUAGGCGGAUGUUUAAGUCGGGGGUGAAAGCCCGGGGCUCAACCUCGGAAUUGCCUUCGAUACUGGACAUCUUGAGUACGGGAGAGGUGAGUGGAACUCCGAGUGUAGAGGUGAAAUUCGUAGAUAUUCGGAAGAACACCAGUGGCGAAGGCGACUCACUGGCCCGGAACUGACGCUGAGGUGCGAAAGCGUGGGGAGCAAACAGG
rnacentral:rRNA from 1 species